GUAGGUGGCAAGCGUUGUCCGGGAAUUAUUGGGGCGUAAAGCGCGCGCAGGCGGUUCUUUAAGUCUGAUGUGAAAGCCCACGGGCUCAACCGUGGAGGGUCAUUGGAAACUGGAGAACUUGAGUACAGAAGAGGAAAGCGGAAUUCUACGUGUAGCGGUGAAAUGCGUAGAGAUGUGGAGGAACACCAGUGGCGAAGGCGGCUUUCUGGUCUGUAACUGACGCUGAGGCGCGAAAGCGUGGGGAGCAAACAGGAUUAGAUACCCUGGUAGUCCACGCCGUAAACGAUGAGUGCUAAGUGUUAGGGGGUUUCCGCCCCUUAGUGCUGCAGCUAACGCAUUAAGCACUCCGCCUGGGGAGUACGGCCGCAAAGGCUG
rnacentral:rRNA from 1 species